rnacentral:rRNA from 1 species
UACGUAGGGCGCAAGCGUUGUCCGGAAUUAUUGGGCGUAAAGAGCUCGUAGGCGGUUUGUCGCGUCUGUCGUGAAAGCUUGGGGCUUAACCCCAAGUCUGCGGUGGAUACGGGCGGACUAGAGGCAGGUAGGGGAGAACGGAAUUCCCGGUGUAGCGGUGAAAUGCGCAGAUAUCGGGAGGAACACCGGUGGCGAAGGCGGUUCUCUGGGCCUGUACUGACGCUCAGGGGCGAAAGCGUGGGGAGCAAACCGG